rnacentral:rRNA from 1 species
GACGAACGCUGGCGGCGCGCCUAACACAUGCAAGUCGAACGGAGCUGAGAGAAGCUUGCUUUUCUUAGCUUAGUGGCGAACGGGUGAGUAACGCGUGAGUAACCUGCCCUGGAGUGGGGGACAACAGUUGGAAACGACUGCUAAUACCGCAUAAGCCCACGAUCCGGCAUCGGCUUGAGUGAAAAGGAUUUAUUCGCUUCAGGAUGGACUCGCGUCCAAUUAGCUAGUUGGUGAGGUAACGGCCCACCAAGGCGACGAUUGGUAGCCGGACUGAGAGGUUGAACGGCCACAUUGGGACUGAGACACGGCCCAGACUCCUACGGGAAGCAGCAGUGGGGGAUAUUGCACAAUGGGGGAAACCCUGAUGCAGCGACGCCGCGUGGAGGAAGAAGGUUUUCGGAUUGUAAACUCCUGUCGUUAGGGACGAUAAUGACGGUACCUAACAAGAAAGCACCGGCUAACUACGUG